ACAGAAAAGAAAACCAACAAAAAAACAACCCAUUGAGAGAGUCAGAAUACAACCUGACGCCCUUUUAGCCAGUUUGUUGGUAGCAGUCCAGUUAAAUGAUGGCUGCAGUCCUCCUGGAGUGACAGAUGUGGUGGCUCUGUUGAAGUAAUGAUCCCCUAGAAGGGCAUAGUUUUCCUCUGAAGGUCCAGUGGUGAUGUAGAUGGGUACAGUCUCCCGCCUCUGGGAAUUCAGUGGAGAAAGGCUGCUAUGGUGUUCUGAGUCUCCAGAGAUAAACAUGUAUAGAUGCUUGGCUCCUCCCCCUCAGUGGAGCAUCUCACAAUGGGAUGAUGUAAUUUCAUCAGUCAUGUAAUGAGACUCAAUGGCCCAUUAACAGAAGAUAUCCCUCUUGGGGGAGGAUGGGUUGUGGAAGAGAUAAAGAAAACUGCCCCACCUGGUUUCAAUAGAUAGUAAUAGAAUAGAACUUUUGGUUACAUCUUGCAUUGCAACCCAAGACACUAAAAGUGGUGUAAUAUAUUAGUGGCAAAAGGCAAUAACACCUGAUGGUUUUUGUCUGACGCUUAUUGGGGUUAAGUAGUUUCUGAGUUGGUUUUAAAGAAAUAAGUUAGUUGCUAUUAUAAGUCAGAGAUUUUUUUGUGUCUUUUCCCCUAAGUGAGAUGUGUUAUUGCACACUUGGAGUACCCUAUGUUAUAAGCGUAAUAGCAAAAUAAGGUUAAUAUAAAAAGCAAUUUAUUAUAAAACAAUUCCAAUCAUAAGCAACGAGAGAAGAAAACACAAUAAAUAAAUCAGCGCAGCGCCGGGUGGACAGGGAUCUGCACCCAGAGGUACAGAUUUUCCCAAAUCCACGAAGGAGGGAUUGCAGUCCAGGGUUUUUAUAAGGAUUUUCGUAUCCUGAGGCAAAACCUGGAGUGGGCAGCGUCCAACGAAGAGUCUAGAUGUGCGGUUGAAUAGAUUUCCCUGAUCCUUCGAGCUGAGUCAAUAGUCAACUGGGCAGAGUCUUUUCACAUGCGAAUGGUUCUGGGUGUCUUCUGAUUGCAUCUUUUGGUUGGACUCGCGGGGUGGAGUAUCCAGGUCGGGUUCGAAGCAGAUGACUAUCUCAGCCCGGCUACUCUCAUUGUCUGGCUUGAUUGCCUGUGUCCUGCUCUUUAUCUCGGGCUGAUAAGCGUCGCCAUGGAUCGUUACCGCCUGACUCGGGAAGGAAUCUUUAGAUCAUACUACAUUUUAUAUCUUUACAUUAUUAUAAAUAUAACAUAUAUUUCUUUAUUCUCCUUCACAAAUUUUUAUCCAAUGCCACAUUUAUCACACCUAUGAUUAAAUUUGUGAAAGAAAACUUAAGAUUACUAGUUUUAUAGAGAAUAUGUAUAUACUUUGCUAAAAAAGUAGUCAACUGUAAUUCUUAAUAAAAUGUGUUAUUCUUCCAGCAGACCCCUGGAAGUCUAAAGGAUGGAGGUAGAGGAGAGCCAAGCGCAGUCCCUGAAUGAGAUGCCAGAGCCCAGCUGUGCUAGCGGUGCCAGCUGGCACCUCACUGACACCACUCGGCUGCAGCACUUCCUGUGCUUUGGGUCCGAGGGCAGCACUUAUCAUGUCAAGGAGCAGAAGCUGGGCUUUGAAAAUGCAGAAGCUUUGCUAAGGCUGAUUGAAGAGGGCAGAGGCUGCGAAGUUGUUGAAGAAAUAAAAGCAUUUAGUCAAGAGGGCAGAGCAGCAAAACAGGAACCCCUGCUCUUUGCCCUUGCAGUUUGCUCACAGUGUUCUGAUGCUAAAACAAAACAAGCAGCAUUUAAAGCUGUCCCUGAGGUGUGUUGCAUACCAACCCAUCUCUUUACUUUCAUCCAGUUUAAAAAAGAUCUGAAGGAGGGCAUGAAAUGUGGCAUGUGGGGCCGUGCUUUGAGGAAAGCUGUUGCAGAUUGGUACAAUGGAAAAAAUGGCAUGGCUCUUGCUUUAGCAGUUACAAAAAAUAAGCAAAGAAGUGGUUGGUCUCAUAAAGAUCUUCUGAGAUUGUCCCACCUAAAACCUGCCAGUGAAGGAAUUGCAAUAGUCACUAAGUAUAUUACCAAGGGGUGGAAAGAUGUUGAAGAAGCUUAUAAACAGAAAGCAGUUUCUGCUGAGACUGAAAAACUCUUGAAGUAUCUGGAGGCUGUGGAGAAAGUAAAACACACAAAAGAUGAAUUGGAAAUUAUUCAUUUGAUAGAGGAAUAUGGUCUAGUUAGAGAGCAUCUCCUAACAAACCAUCUGAAAUCCAAAGAGGUCUGGAAGGCAUUACUCAAGGAGAUGCCUAUAUCUGUAUUAUUGAGAAAUUUAGGAAAGCUGGCAGCAAAUUCAGUGCUUGAACCACGAGGUUCAGAAGUGGCAAUAGUGUGUGAAAAACUGAGAAAUGAGAAGCUGCUAAAAAAGGGUAGAAUACAUCCCUUUCAUAUUUUGGUUGCAUUAGAAACCUAUAAAGCUGGACAUGGACACAGAGGGAAGCUUUGGUGGCGUCCUGAUGAAGACAUUUUAGAAGCCUUAGAUGCCUCAUUUUACAAAGCUUUCAAGACAUUGGAACCAACAGGAAAACGCUUUGUAAUUGCAGUUGAUGUCAGUGGAUCAAUGACACAAAAGGUCUUGGGCAGUGUGCUCAAUGCCAGCACAGUUGCAGCAGUAAUGUGUAUGGUUGUAGCACGGACUGAGAAGGAUUCCCAAAUUGUUGCCUUUUCACACGAAAUUGUCCCUUGUCCAGUGACAGCUGACAUGACCUUGCCUCAAGUUUUAGUGAAAAUAUUCCAGUGGGUACCACUGAUUGUUCCCUUCCAAUGAUAUGGGCUCAAAAAACUCAGACGCCUGCCGAUGUCUUCAUUGUAUUUACUGAUAAUGAGACCUUUGCUGGGAGUACUCCUCCUGCAGUGGCCCUUACAGAGUACAGAGAGAAAAUGGGUAUUCCUGCUAAGCUGGUUGUUUGUGGAAUGACCUCCCGUGGUUUUACGAUUGCGGGCACGGAUGACAGAGGCAUGUUGGAUAUCUGUGGCUUCGAUACAGGAGCUUUGGAUGUCAUUCGAAACUUCACUUUGGAUUUGAUUUAAGUUUUUCAGGCAUCUGCUCUUCCCAGUGGGUCCAUUGCUGGCAACAGACUUCACUCUGGGAACUCCCAGCCAAAUAUACUUUAUUAGUUUAUGGCAUAUUGUAUACAUAUCAGAAUGUUACAGGAGGUGGUGGCACUUCAAGUAUUUCUGACUAGAGCUUCUCACUAAGGUGUUUGUAAGAUUGAACAGAACUUCAGUCUCAUGCAAAUCUAACAGAUUCAGAGAAACUCAGCACUUGCAUGUCUGGUCUCAUACUGUCAGUAGUAGCCAGUCAUCCCCUGCCACUGGAGGUGGCAGCCACAUGUCACCACUGUCAUCCUGGGACUUUGCGCCAUACAGCAACACAGUGCACAUUUGGAUACUCAUGGUAAGGGCUGGCAGUGCAGUCACAUCACCCUUCAGAAUCCUGCAGCACAGCUUGCAGCCCUGCUCCAUGCCCCUUUAGAACGGCAUCUCCACUCCUCAGCCACCUUCCUUGUAUCCAGCACACUCAUUUUCCCAAGGCAGCUGGUUUCUUCCUAUACACACACUCAAAACUCCAAUUGGACUUAAUUCCCUGACCAGCCUGUGCUCUAUGUGAGGUGGAACACCAAAGAGUGUCAUCUCUUGUGUGGUAUCCACAGUAACUGUGCUCUGAGUCUACAGGCCAGCAACAGCCAGUCUGGAUCUGUCCCAGGGGGUAAACAGGACCCUCUGUUGUGAUGGGAUGAUGGCAGGACCACAGUGUACUUAACAAACUCUUGGUCCCUGAGCUUCAUCAAAAUCUUCCUGGCUAGGAACACAUGAAUUAUCCCAUCCCUGUUGUCCUCAAGCUCCACAGCACCCACUGCCUUGAGGAGAAGGGUGGCUUUGCCUGGGCCCAAAGAACACACCAUCACAGCAAACACGUUGUGUCAGCAUGCUGGACCCUGCUUUUGCUCUUCACCAGUGCUGGAAUUAGCCCAGACCCCAGCUUGGCCACAUCCAGUUCCUCAGCAGGGUAGGUGAAGAGGGCCACAUUAUUGUCCAGCUCCUCACAGACUUUGGAGUUCUUGUGCUACAGGUACCCCCUGCUGCAGCAGCAGGCCCUGCUCGGGCACCUGCUGAGGACAUGCUCUCUUCAUCAGCCACAGGAGCAGGGGGUUGUAUUACAGGAUGUCCAGCUCCUUGUCCCCAAGGACUUCAGCAGCAGCAGUGAUCAGCAGUGCCAGAAAGCAGGUGGGUCACCUCCAGGGCCCUGAGCACCACCUUGGAGUCAAAGAGGGUGUAGGGCAAGCUGAGGAGCCCCAGAAGCCAGGCUUCGGCCUUUUAGGAUUCAUUCAAGCCUGAAUGAAAAGGGGUCCAGGAAAGCUGGACAUUCUUGAAGGAUCUUAAAGAUGCAGGAGCAGGCUGUCCCCAUGUGCUGGAAGAUGAGUCAGUGGGGAAGAAGACUGGCCCGGUUGAGCAGGGAGUCACUAGAACUCAGGAAAAAAAGACCUUUAGGAAAAAAGGUGGGGUGUUCUUGAGGACUAGAAGUAUGUUAGAUUAUGCAGAAAGGUUAAAAAAGUGAAACCUGAGCUAGAAAUUAAUUUGGCCACUGCCGUAAUAGAUAAUAAAAAGUGUUUUUACAAAUACAUCAGCUACAAAAGGAAGGUCAAGGGGAGAAUCUCCAUCCUUUAAAGCACAUGAGGGAAAGCAUUGCCACAAAGGAUGAGAAAAAUGCUGAUGUACAAAGAAGGCAUUCUUUGCCUCAGUCUUUAAUAGUCAGACCAGUUGUCCUUAGGAAGACAGAGACAAGGAACAAAAUGAAGUCCAUGUAAUUCAGGAGGGAACAGUGACCUACUGCUCCACUUAUAUGUUCAAAAGUCUGUGAGGUUGGAUGGAAUCCACCCAAGCCACUCUCCACAAUUUAUCAUCAAUCCUGGCUAACCAGGGAGGUCUCAAGACGACUGGAGGUUGGCCACUGUGGCACCCAUUGAGCAGAAGGGCCAGAAUCAGGAUCCAGAAAACCACAGGCAUGUCAGCCUGACCUUGAUGCCAGGGAAGGUUAUGGAACAGAUCAUCUUGAUCACACAAGCAUAUGCAGGACAGCGAGGGAUCAGACCCAGCCAGCAUGGCUUUAUGAAAGGCAGGUUCUGCCUGAUCAACCUGAUCUUCUAUGAAUGGUGACCUCCCUAGUGGAUGAGGUAAAGGCUGUGGAUGUGGUCUGCCUGGACUUCAGUAAGGCCUUGGACACUGUUUCUCAUAGCAUUCUCCUGGAGAAGCUAGGAGCCUAUGGCUUGGACAGGUGCACUGUUUGCUGGGUGAAAAACUGGCUGGAUGGGUGGUUCCAGAGAGUGGUGGUGACUGAGUAACAUCCUGCUGCUGGCUGGUCACCAGUGGUGUUUUCCAGGGCUCACUGUUGGGGCCAGUCCUGCUGAGUUCCUUUAUGGCUGAUCUGGACAAUGGGAUCAAGGGCACCUUCAGUUAGUUAGCAGAUGACACCAGGUUGAGCCAAAGAGUUGAUCUGCUGGAUGGCAAGAAGGCUCUGCAGAGGGAUCUGGACAGACUGGAUCCAUGGGGCCAAUUGUGUGGGGUUCAACAAAGCCAAGUGCUGGGUCCUGCCUUUGGGUCACAACAAACCCAUGUAAUGCUUCAGGCUGGGGCAGACUGGCUGGAAAGCUGCCCAGUGGAAAAGGACCUGGGGAUGCUGGUCAGAGUGGGUGAAUAAGAGCUAGCUAUGCCCAGGUGGGCAAGAAGGCCAAAGGGCAUCCUGGCUUGGAUCGGAAAGAGUGUCAACAGGACUAGAGAAGAGAUUGUUCCUCUGUACUUGGCACUGCUGAGCCUCACCCUCAAAUCCUGUUUGCAGCCAAGCAUUGGAAAAGGCUGCCCAGGGAAGUGGCAGAAUCAUCAUCACUGGAAGUGCUCCAAAACCAUGUGGAUCUUGUGGGACAUGGCUCAGUGGUGGGCCUGGCAUUGUUGCGUUGAUGACUGGACUUGAUCUUAAGAGCUCUUUUUCAACCCUCAUGAUUUUGUGAUUCAUUACCUUUUUGUAAAGGGAAAACAAGAAAAGCAGAUGAGGAAUCUCUUGUACUUUUUCUGUUGCACACAAUUUAAAAUAACAGUGAGAAGUUUGGUAAAAGUGGUUACAGGGUUAUAUAGUAUAUAACUUAAUUUCAUUUAUAGUAGGUCAUAAAUAUGGAGAUAUUUUUAAUUUCCCCCAUUUCUGUGGAAUGCUUAUCUGCAAGAAUAAAUUCAUUAAUUACUUUUAGCAUGGGGCUGGAAACAAGUGGGCUUAGAAUUUUUAAAAAUGCCAAUUUAAGAGCAACUUCAUUGAGAGGGACUUUUCUUUGGGCUUUUUUAAAUCUUUGUAUUUUAUUUGUUACUAACGUUCAAUGGUUUCCAUGAUUACAGUUAAAAUCUACAAAUGAAGUUUUUUCUGGUAUGUAUUGAGACCAUGUGACUGUGAUACAGUGUAAAAGUCACCCAGGGACAUUUUAUACUGAUAUAACUGAAAGUGCAAGACUUUAUGCUAACCUUUUUCUCUCUGGAUUAUCAUCUGGGAUUUCAGGAGGAAAUAGCUCUAGAUAAAUUGAGGGGCAGUUUCUGCACAGUACCAUUUCAGAAGCACUAGUUUAGAAUUAAAACACUUUCCAGGAAAUUCUAAAAACUGUUUUUAGUAGAUAAGGACCUUGGAAAUGACUAGGAUGUCACAUUCAGUCCUUGUCACGACUUCAAGAAGCAUUAGCACACCUUCAGUGAGCAAGAUCAACAUGUGCAUGUUUGUCUUGGCCUGCUCACAAAAGCUGAGUGGGAAUACCAGAAACAAAAAGUUACAUUUUUUUUCCAAAAGUAUGUAUACAAUGACGCAGAAACAAAUCUUCCUAACAGGAGAGUAUUUAAUUUUUUUAAAUCUUUUCAUAGAUUAGUGUUACUUCUGUUUUCAUAAAUUAAUUCAAUCUAACAUAUUUCAAAACUACCUCCAGUUUAUAGUGACCAAUUCUUAAAAACUUUAAUGAACUGUAUAGUUGCCUCCUUCAUAUUCACAAAAUCUUGUUUAGGAAGUGAUUGAAACUGGAUUCUUUAUUUUUAAUUUUUUAUUUUUAGUCUGAUAGUAAGAGUGUGACAAGAAGACAGUGAAUAUUCUACCACUUUGGAACAGAAAUUGAUAGCAAUUUGUGUGUAUAUGUAUUUAGUUGUGUGUUUUCUAUAUGUGUGUAUGGGGGGAAGUUAAAAGAUCUCUUUAGUAGAUCAGUCAUAAAAGAUUUAAAAGGUUUUUAGUGAUGCUUUUAGGACUUCCUCUAAAACAUAUGUAUUUCAGCCUCUUUUAUUCUGACUAUUUUAAACAGUGAAUUUGAUGGUAAUUCGAAAAUAAUUAUGAUUUAUAAAAAUAUCAUGUUUACCCAUAGUGGUAAAUUACAUGUAAGACCAUAUUUUUCUGCAUAAAACCCAAGCUUUUAAAUGUAAAAUUGAAGUUCCUACUAUACUUUUGGUACGUGUAACACUUUUCAUUAUGCCUCAUUCCUAUUGAUUAUAAAUUCAAAGCUUGCAUUCUGUAGCCAGGAUAUCUCUUUUGGUGCUAAAAUAGGAUGUUACAUGUUACUGAGGGUAUUCUGCUACUUACGCUCUCCCUUAAUGCAUAAUCAAUCCAGUGAGGGAAGCCUUUCCUUAUAUAAAACAGGGCUUAAAGAACUGCUGGGUAGAGUGUUGCCUUUCAGCCAACAUGAAAGUCACUACUGAAUUAUCACUACUCUCACAAAACAGCUGUGACAGAAUGCUUGGAGGACACAGGACUGCUAGCAGCUCCUCAGGUGAGUUCUAGAACAAGCCAAGUGCUCCUGCAAAAGCUAAAACAUAGCACUUUUGGGUUUGUAAAAAGAAAAUCAGCCAUUUCUCAUGAAAAAUUGUGUAUAAUUUUUAGCGUCUAAACAAAACACCAUGAAUAUGGGGAGUAAACUCAUUUGCUCAAUAUGUGUUAAUAAUUAUUUCAAGUAAAUGCACUGAUGUUUUGGGGUUGGGUUUGGGUUUGGUAGUAAUGCAUUUUAAAUAACACAGUAGUCAAACAUCUGAUUAGGUGUUCUAAGCUAAUGUUGUCAAAAAUAACUGAUGAGUAUCUUUUGCAAGUACUUUUUCUUAUUUGGAGUAGUAUUUGUGAAGUAAUAGGAAAUAUUUUGGACUAAAUAUAAAAUGAAAACUUAAAACCGGUGUUUCAAGUAACUUUCAAGUAAAUUUAUUGCAUAUAAAAAUUAAGAAUAGUUACUAACAGAUUGAGUGUAUGGUUAUAGUGGUGUUGCAUCUUUGGAAGCACUCCAGAAUGCAAUUCCUUUAAACUGAGUGUGGAAGUAAGGAUGAACUCUUCAGUAGGACUGAUAGAAAUUGUAGAUCCCUGUAUCUGUUGGCACUGGAAUAGCUGUGACCAAUGCUAAGAGUUAGUCAUCCCUGCUGGGGUACAGAAUAUGCUCCUAAACAUUUAUGGCAUUUCUGGACUAAAAACCUUGUCAGUAGUUUAUGUGAUGUAAAACCAGCACUUACAAGGCCACGUUGCCAUCUGCUCCUCUUACACAGAGAGGGGAAACUGAAGUCGAUGCUGACAGCUGUAAUGUUAAAAUAUGUGGACCUUUGUUUCUGGGGGUCUGUUUUUGGUUUUGUUAUUCUCUUUUAGUAAGGGGCAUUGAAGAAUGAUGCUGCAUAUUCCUUGUCCAUAGACUGGAUCUUGUUUAUCCGCCCAUACACUGAAUUUUAGGAGACAGCAUGACUCAUUUGCCAUAACAUGCAUUUGUCUUCCUUCUAGUCCUUAGUUACUAAACUGGUAAUUUCUAAAACCACAUCUAGACUUGUAAAGAGGCAAUAAUAACUGUAAUGCUUCAAACAUAAUUAAAAAAGUGAGCUAAGACAAAAUUGCUAAGCUUAAGCUUUACCCCUUGACAGUUCUGGAGCAUUAGACUAUGGUGUUGAAGACUGUAAUGUUCAGGCACUUUGUCUUUAAAGAAGAAGAAAAGCAUGUUGUGGCUGGAAACACAGCAGAAAUGAAACAUUCUUCUGUAAGGAAUGAACAUCAGAGAUCAGGUUUUUUCAUGGAAGGGACACAGUGGAGAGGGCAGGAGACUUGAGUUUUUUAAAAUAAUGCAGUGAGCACAUCAUCACUGUGUAAUAAAUUCAAUAAUGACAUAAAUAAUUUUGCCAAGAAAUAGAAUUUCAUGUCUGGAAUUUUAGACCUGGAUCAAGGAGUAGGAGAGUUUAGGAGUUUGUAGUGUUAGAUUGCAGUCCUCUGUGUUUCAAAAAAGAAGUCUAAAGGUAGGUGUAGUUCUGAGGUCAGCAGGGUCAGUCUAAAUGCCCACUGUGUGAGGGCUGCUAAUAACUGGCACUAAAAUACCUUCCUGCUUUAACACCACUCUUAAACCUGUUCAUUCAACGUAAGUCUUAAGGGGGUUUAUGUUGGUCUUUUACAUUGCUGUUGUUAACUGGUGCCCAUAAAUGGGUGUGGCUUUAAAAGGCUGUUCAACAGUUCUUGGCUUAAAAACACACCAGCAGUUUGGGAAAUGUGUUUUUAUUAAAAUGUUGCUGUCUGUAAAAACACUAUGAAAAUAUUUGUCUGCAUUUCAAAUACUGCUUAACCCUGUCCCAGUCUCACAGGCACCAUAACAGAAGCUUUAGUUUUGGUUCCAUUUGUUUCUUCUUUUGCUGUACCCUUUUCUCUGUUGGUGUUGGGGUUUUUUCUCCUUUUCCAUCUUGUCACCUCAGGCCUAUACUUGAAUCUUUUUUCACAAGCUCUCAUCCAUUCCUUUUUUAUUUUUUGCCUCUGUUCUUAUGUCUUCUUGCUAUCUUGCUUGUCUUGCUGUCACUGAGUGUAGUUCCCUGCACCAGAAGUGAUGGCAUAUUUAACAUUUUUAGUAAUUAAUAUUUUUUUUUCUGUUAAUUAUAUAAAUCUCUUACAAAACAUCUAAUUUGCUGUAUCUGACAGAUUUUUGGAAAAAACUCUAUGUAAAAAUCAGUGACAAAAGUAUACUUUAUUACAAAAAAUCCAACAUCUGCCUGUGAAUAGCUUUAUAUGAAAAAAGUAGCCUCUUAAAAUUUGCUUUUCAAAUUGGCUUUCCAAAUGUAAAGCUUUUUUUUUUUAGAAUUAGUUGAGUGAUUUCAAAAUUUUCAUUCUUUUAAACAGUAUCAAGCUGCUGUCAUGCAGAAUUAGGAAAACAUUUAAAUUAAUAUUCUGGACAAACAGGCAGCUUCUCUGCAGUAUUGACAAGAUAAAGUCUUCAAAGAAUAGACUAUAGAAGUAAACCUAAGUAAAGAAUCAUUUGUCUUCUGGUUUUAAUCCUUUUCUUCAGUUUCUGUGAAAUCCCACCAUUUUCUAGGUUUAUUUUGCUGUCUGCAGUGGUUUAGAGUGCUCAGAUACGCUGUAAGCAGCUGUUCUAAUGACUUUCUUGCUGGAAUGGUAGAGAUUUAAUCUUACCAUGACACAAUGGAGUGUACAAAUGGCUGAGCUAGAGUUCUGGGGAAAAGGUAAAACACUGACCAGGACACUGUUUUAUGGAUAUGCUGCUCUGAGGGAAAUCAUAAAAGAUUAGCUAAUUUCAGCAGAAGGUAUGGUGUCUUUAAAUAUGUGUGCUUGCAUUGCUGGAUUUAUGAUUUUGAUACUGUAAAUCAUGGCUUCUUUAGGUAUUUCUAUAUUCUGAAUUUAAGUUUAUAUAUAUAUGCGCAUAUAUAUAUAUAUUUAUAUAUAUAUAUAUAUAUAUAUGGUAUGUUGAGAACUUUCACAAAUGCUUCAUUAACAAAUAGUGAAUAUGAAUUGUUGUUUACCUAAUGUUACCAACUUGAGACUUAAGCACAACUAGUUACAAAUAAUAUGUCUUUUCAUUUUCCUGUAAAAGUGUAGUUCUACUUUUAAAAAUAAUUCUGUAUUUAAAAAGCAACACAUGGGCACAUUCAUAGCUCUGUGUGCUUCAUUAAAUAACUCAGUGUUUGUUUUCAGCUUCUGUUUCUUAGAAGCGUGGGAUUUAAGAUGGAUGAGCAGGUAUCCAGAUUUUCUAGUGGAUAUAUUUUAGUAUUUAGAUCCCAGGACAAGCAUAUUUUAAGAUAAACAGCUUUGUCGUGGAGACAAUGCUGGGGGGAAGAAAAAAGGAAACUUUUAAUUACUAUUCUUGAGGUUCUUCAUUUUGGUUGGUUUUUUUUUUUCCCUAGAGUAGAACCACACUUUAACUGCCAUAUCAUGUUUAAUUAACUUAAGCGUAACAUGGCUUUGUACCAUCCAGUAACGAAGGCACUGUCUUGCUACUUUCUGUGAAAUUGUACACAAUGAAAGAACUGUUAGGAUGGUGAGCCUUAAUGUGGUUAAAAAGAAAUAAAAUUAACCCUUUGGGUGCCUUAAGCUAGACACUAUUUAAUGAUGGGGCACUCACAUCUGCAGGCACACAGCUUGUUUCAACAGCUGCAAGAGAAUUUGCCUUAAGUGACAAUGCCCUGGGAUUUCCAGAACUUGGAAUUCAGAGGGUUAUUUUAGACUACUGGCUAAAUAAACAAGCCUCUAAACAGGGAACAAAAUGAAAAGGUGUUUGAAAAAUUCCUUUGCAUACUGUUGUUAUUAUUUUUACAUGAUGGGUUUAUCAGAUUUGGGGACAAAAUUAUUGUUAAGCUUCUGGUAAAAACAUCACUGGCUGAAGAAUUCUACACAGAGAAAAAGGAUACUUGGUAUUCUUAUAUGACUGUAUGUACAAAAUAAAUUGCUUUAUUAAGUGUAAAUUCAGAGAGAGAUGCAGAUUUGUGUGUUUACCUUGAUGACUGUGUCCUAGCACCAUACAGUAAACUGCAAUACUUAAAAUGAAACAAGGUCAGUGUGUUGAAUUAGCUGAUUACAUAUUAAAGAUGUACCAUGCAGACAACUGUAUACUAAAGACUUUCUACAAAUGAUGCAGUUUAUAUUUAGUUCAAACCUGCAUCACAAAAACAAAGCUGUUGAGUUUAAAUUAUACUCUUUUCAUCCUAGUUAGCUGGAAUUAAAGAUUGAUGGCUUUUUCCCUUGAGGGGGAAAAAGUAGUUUAGGUACAUGGAAUACUGAAAGCAAUGGAAAUAAUAGGAGUCUUAAUUCACAAAAAGUGAGUAAAAAAUUGACUAAUGUUUUUAUUCCAAUAUGUGAACCUUUAGUUGUGUAAUGGUCCCUUUAACUGAAGAAUGGAAUAUAAUUUUCUAAUUGCAUAUGAACUUCUUUAAAAUAACCAAGAGUCUUGGCAUUACCUGGUCUGGCUUUGGAUGUACAUUGUACUGAAAAUAUGGAAUUUUAGUAAUUUCUUUUAGACAUAAAACUGAAAGUUAAAACGGCUAGUAAACUGCAUUCUGACUGUAGAAUUUAAGUACUAAAUAAACUCUAUGCAUAUUAGACCCACUUCA